AGCCGCGGUAAUACGGAGGGUGCAAGCGUUAAUCGGAAUUACUGGGCGUAAAGCGCACGCAGGCGGUCUGUCAAGUCGGAUGUGAAAUCCCCGGGCUCAACCUGGGAACUGCAUUCGAAACUGGCAGGCUGGAGUCUUGUAGAGGGGGGUAGAAUUCCAGGUGUAGCGGUGAAAUGCGUAGAGAUCUGGAGGAAUACCGGUGGCGAAGGCGGCCCCCUGGACAAAGACUGACGCUCAGGUGCGAAAGCGUGGGGAGCAAAC
rnacentral:rRNA from 1 species